rnacentral:rRNA from 1 species
GACGAACGCUGGCGGCGUGCCUAAUACAUGCAAGUAGAACGCAGUUACGAGCGGGUGAGUACCGCGUAGGUACCUGCCUCAUAGCGGCGGCUAACUGUUGGCAACGAUAGCUAAUACCGCCUACUGUGGGUUGGAUCUGCGUUGUGUUAGCGAGUUGGUGGGGUAAAGGGUCACCAAGGCGACGGUACAUAGCCGGACCGAGAGGGUGAAUGGCCACCAUGGGACUUAGAACCGGCCCCGUCUCCUUCCGGAGGCAGCAGUAGGGAAUCUUCGGCAAUUGGCGGAAGUAUUAACGAGCAACGCCGCGUGAGUGAAGGAAGUUUUCGGUUCGGUAAGCGCCGUUUGUUGAGGAGCGGUAACUAACCAGAAAGGGACGGCUAACUACGUGCCAGCAGCCGCGGUAAUAC